rnacentral:rRNA from 1 species
AACGCACCUUGCGCUCCUUGGUAUUCCGAGGAGCAUGCCUGUUUGAGUGUCUUGAAGUCAUCAACCCCACCCGUUUAUGGCGGUGUGUGGGCUUGGACCUGGGGGUCUGCUGCCGAGAGGCUGCUCCCCUCAAAUGCGUCGGUUGGGCCUGUGGGUCGAACUCGACUGGGCGUUGUACCAUCCUCGCUCCGACGAGAAGUUCCCCUUUCUUGCGCCCUUCCCCGGCUCGCCUCUUGAGUGGCUGCCAAAACUACAGAAUUGUAGACUUUGAAAUCUGACCUCAAAUCAGGUAGGACUACCCGCUGAACUUAA